rnacentral:misc_RNA from 1 species
AAACCUUUCUGAUUGAUGUAGCAAUGUUUGGUGUGAUUUAUAUUAUUUCUGGGCAGUUUUUCAUGGUGGAUGCAAUACAGUUUGGAGUUCCUACUACUUCUAUGUUAUAAAUUACAGGAUCUGAAUACGAUAAGAGGACUAUAAUAAUUGUUAUUAUUUUAGUUUUUGUGAUUUUUUUCUGGAAUUGAUUAGAUUUACUAUGACAAAUACAGAGGCAUUGAUUA